rnacentral:miRNA from 1 species
GCGGGCGCAUUGUGGGGACGAGCCGGCGGGAGGCGGAAAGGGCACGGGGCAGGGCCACUCCUGCCCG